rnacentral:ncRNA from 1 species
GGAGAAUUUUAGUAUAUCUUAGUCAAAUGUGAAAAAACUAGUGAUGAUUCGCCAUGGACGGCGAAUCAAGAUGCCACUGAGCCAGGAUGGCGAAUUGGUAUCGGUCACGAACACUAAGAAAAACUCUCCAUUCGACUUAGAUAUACUUAAAUUCGGA